CAAUAGCGUAUAUUUAAGUUGUUGCAGUUAAAAAGCUCGUAGUCGGAUUUUGGCUGAGAACGAUCGGUCCGCCGUUAGGUGUGCACUGAUUGGUCUCAGCUUCCUGGUGAGGAGGUGUGCUUCACGGCCACUUAGUCACCGUGGUUACUUUGAAAAAAUUAGAGUGUUCAAAGCGGGCUUACGCUUGAAUAUAUUAGCAUGGAAUAACACCAUAGGACUCCUGUCCUAUUUCGUUGGUCUCGGGACGGGAGUAAUGAUUAAGAGGAACAGUUGGGGGCAUUCGUAUUUCAUUGUCAGAGGUGAAAUUCUUGGAUUUAUGAAAGACGAACUUCUGCGAAAGCAUUUGCCAAGGAUGUUUUCAUUGG
rnacentral:rRNA from 1 species